AGCAGUCGCCGCGGGAAUACGGAGGAUCCAAGCGUUGUCCGGAAUCAUUGGGUUUAAAGGGUCCGUAGGCGGUCUUGUAAGUCAGUGGUGAAAGCCCAUCGCUCAACGGUGGAACGGCCAUUGAUACUGCAGGACUUGAAUUAUUGGGAAGUAACUAGAAUAUGUAGUGUAGCGGUGAAAUGCUUAGAGAUUACAUGGAAUACCAAUUGCGAAGGCAGGUUACUACCAAUUGAUUGACGCUGAUGGACGAAAGCGUGGGUAGCGAACAGGAUUAGAUACCCCCGUAGUCCCUGUCUCUUAUAC
rnacentral:rRNA from 1 species